UCUUAUGGAUAAGCAAAGAAAGUGGGUUUCUUGAGAAGGAAUCUGUUCUCAGUGAUGAUGCUAUGAA
rnacentral:pre_miRNA from 3 species